AUGGGAACGCGAAGAACCUUACCUAGACUUGACAUCUCCUGAAUAGUGUAGAGAUACAUGAAGCCCUUCGGGGCAGGAAGACAGGUGGCGCAUGGUUGUCGUCAGCUCGUGUCGUGAGAUGUUGGGUUAAGUCCCGCAACGAGCGCAACCCUUAUUACUAGUUGCUACCAUUAAGUUGAGCACUCUAGUGAGACUGCCCGGGUUAACCGGGAGGAAGGCGGGGAUGACGUCAAAUCAUCAUGCCCCUUAUGUCUAGGGCAACACACGUGCUACAAUGGUGAGUACAGAUAGAUGCGAUACCGCAAGGUGGAGCCAAACUCUAAAACUCAUCCCAGUUCGGAUUGUAGGCUGCAACUCGCCUACAUGAAGUUGGAGUUGCUAGUAAUCGCGAAUCAGAAUGUCGCGGUGAAUACGUUCCCGGGUCUUGUACACACCG
rnacentral:rRNA from 1 species